GUCGAACGGUAACAGGGAGCUUGCUCCGCUGACGAGUGGCGAACGGGUGAGUAAUGCAUCGGAACGUACCCAGUCGUGGGGGAUAACGUAGCGAAAGUUACGCUAAUACCGCAUACGUCCUGAGGGAGAAAGCGGGGGACCGAAAGGCCUCGCGCGAUUGGAGCGGCCGAUGUCGGAUUAGCUAGUUGGUAGGGUAAAGGCCUACCAAGGCGACGAUCCGUAGCGGGUCUGAGAGGAUGAUCCGCCACACUGGGACUGAGACACGGCCCAGACUCCUACGGGAGGCAGCAGUGGGGAAUUUUGGACAAUGGGCGCAAGCCUGAUCCAGCCAUGCCGCGUGAGUGAAGAAGGCCUUCGGGUUGUAAAGCUCUUUCAGGUGGAAAGAAAACGCAUGGGUCAAUACCCUGUGUGGAUGACGGUACCAUCAGAAGAAGCACCGGC
rnacentral:rRNA from 1 species